AAAUGUAAAUAACAUUUUUAAAAGUGUAUGGAGUUUGGCAGUUCCCUCCUUCCCUGCCCCUGUAGUCAGUCGAUGGAUGCAGGAGGACAUUCGCUGAGCUUAGGACCGUGAUGUGGAUAAGAUUUCAACAAGCAUUUACAAAUCCUCGGAAAAUUAGAAAUUGCCACGUGAUGAAAGGAUGGAGUUUGCUGUUUUUGAAAUUACAGGAUCCCAAACUCUGAGUUGGAAGAGAAUUUAAUGGGGACGUUAUCCCGCUUUGUACCUUGCAAUCAACACAGGAUACACUUCAUGUCCUAUGUGCUUCUCUGGUCAAAGGUUAAGCAGAAUUAGGGCCUCAGCAAGGCAGGUUCUUGAGGAGAGGGGAAUGAAUAGGAGGUGGGAGGGAGAUGGAGUGUUAAAGAUGAUUGGAUAUAUAGGGCAAAAAAAGUAAUGUAGUCACCAUGGGGUGGAAGUAGGAGAAUUGUCUUGAUUUUAAAUUAUAUAUGGAGUAAGAGGACACCAAACUGUUUUUUUUUUUUUUUUUUUUUAAGAUUUUACUCUAGCUCUGAAUCUGUUCCAUGCUCAUUGUUAUCACAUGGGUAGAGGGAUCCCCAUUUUAGGAUUUGCGAUCAUGCAGACCUGGAUUUGAACCUCAUCUUUACCUCAUUGUAGUUACUUUGGACAAGUCAUGUCCCCUCUCUGAGCCUUAUCUGUGAAAAGAAGAUAAGAUCUAGUCUAUGAGUGACUGCAGAGCUGGAAGGAGACACUGCCUGGUUUACACCUGCAUGAUACCCUAUGAGCAUGACGGAUUAUUGACAUUUAUUUGCCUCCUUGGAAAAUUCUAGCAUUGGGGAACUUACUCUCUUGCCAGCGUCAACACUUGAUCCAUUGAUCACCCCCAAGUGGUGACCCCUAUGCUCAGGCCCUUGCAGCCACCCACUCUAGACAACCAGGACACACAUAAGUCCCCAGAACAGAGGGCAAGCUCAGGACACCCAGGCAUUGAGCAGUGCUGUGAAAGGAAAAGCCCUUCACCACCUGACCAAGCUGGAAAUCUCCCACAGAUUCCACAUGUUCUUAUGAUUAAUGGCGCCACCACUCCUAGAAGUCAUUCUUCAGAACAACCAAAAGACUCAACUCACCCCAGGCAUUCUACCCUAGUCCCAGCAAGCAACUCCCUGCCAAACGCCUGGACUUGGUGUAUUUAAAGGUCUGGCAGCAAGGGCCGUUAGUUCUGUAAGAAGGAUCCGGAACUCAUUACCAGAACCAUACGGUAAGCCAGUGGAAAAUGAGACUACCCACGUAACUGCUCGGGCACAAUGGUGUCCAAGGGAGGCUCUCCGGUGCCGGAAUCGGGAGGAACCUUGCCCAUUCUUAUUUUAGAACCAGACUUUUGGCAGUUACAACAUUGGCUCACCCAAAUGUUCUUGAUAGCAGCUGGUUGAGGUGGGCUGAAGGGGAACAGAGAAAAUAGAAGAGUGUGAAACCAGCCACCAAAAAAUGAGCUGAAAGUUUAAGUGAUUGGGCUUGGGAGCAGCUUGGCAAUAUCCUGGCUGUACGUGUCUCCGUGCCUCCCUAAGUGGCGGGGAAGGCCAUGCCUCGUGGCUUGGGGCUGGAAAUAGUAAGACUCUGUAGAGUGCUGAGUGCAGGACCUGGCACUGAGGAAGCCCUCCAUACCUGGUGGUGGAUGGUUGGGAUUGGUGGGUGUGGCAUUAUAGCAGCGCUUGGAAGAAACUCUAAGGGUGUCUUGAAACCCCAUCGGCCUCUCUUGUGCUCAGACCCCAAGAAACCUUUCCCAUUGCUAGAAUUGGCCCUGCCAGAGCACCUUUGGUCUGUUCCUAAAAUAGACUACAAAAUUACACCAGUCAUCGAAAUGCACCUAAAAUACACUGUCUCUUUGGGACGGAUGGGGAAGGGUGCGGUGAACAAUUCAGGUUUGCUCCCCAUCCUCUUUCCUGCGCAGAGGGUCACACGACCUCCUUCUACAGGAGGCCUGCUCAUGCACACACCUGCAUGCGCGAAUGCACACACAUACACACAUACGUGGUGCGUGGGCACACACGAAUAUGUGGUCACACACCAUACCUUGGUCGAGUGGGGUUGUCCUCAUUGUCCUGUGAGUCAUCCCAAAUCACUUCUGGAAGGGACAAGAAGGAAGCCUAGAUUCCUGGAGGCUUACACAGAGGAAGGAACCACCACAUGGAGGUGGCAGGUAGGCUCAGCCGCUGACCCACCGUGUCACCUUGGGCUCACUGCUCUCAGCCUUGGUUCCUCAUUUAUAAAGAGACAACCGUUUUCACCUACUCCCACAUGGGUUAACUCUGAAAACUGAGACUGUCUUAAACCCCAGAUUUUCCAAACUCAACACAACCAAUCAAUUGAAUAAAGAGGAGGGAUCCCUGGGUGGCGCAGCGGUUUGGCGCCUGCCUUUGGCUCAGGGCGCGAUCCUGGAGACCCGGGAUCGAAUCCCACAUCGGGCUCCCGGUGCAUGGAGCCUGCUUCUCCCUCUGCCUAUGUCUCUGCCCCUCUCUCUCUCUCUCUGUGACUA
rnacentral:lncRNA from 1 species